CAGCAGCCACGGGAAUACGAAGGGGGCUAGCGUUGUUCGGAAUUACUGGGCGUAAAGCGUGCGCAGGCGGUUUCUCAAGUCAGUGGUGAAAGCCCGGAGCUCAACUCCGGAACUGCCAUUGAAACUGUGAAGCUGGAGGACGAGAGAGGUGAGUGGAAUUCCCAGUGUAGAGGUGAAAUUCGUAGAUAUUGGGAAGAACACCGGUGGCGAAGGCGGCUCACUGGCUCGUUUCUGACGCUCAUGCACGACAGCGUGGGGAUCAAACAGGAUUAGAUACCCGUGUAGUCCCUGUCUCUUAUAC
rnacentral:rRNA from 1 species